UGGGCAUUUGGGUUGGUUCUAGGUCUUUGCUAUUGUAAACAGUAAAUAGUUUAAAUAUUGUAAAUAUUGUAAAUAGUUUGUUUUAAAUACUUUCUUCAAAUCCUUCUUGCUUUUUUGCUAGUAGUUCAUUGUUAAGUCCUAUCCUAUGUAGCUGUUAAGAGAUGCCUACAGGCACAUAGUACAUUCUGUGUCCUUGUAGUUUAACCAAGGUAUCUGUGCUGGACAUGCUCACAGGCAUGUCCCAGCUUGCAGCCUAUGCCUCUUCCUUACUUGAACUUCCUUUUUGUUUUCCAUUGCUUUUACCUGUUUAGAAAGGUUUAAGUUGCUAGGCAAUCAGGUUUUAGUUUAAAUUAUGAGAUCUGGCUCCAGCCAAUAGAGAUCAGACAUAGCAGUAAGGACAACCCCGAAUGUGUAAGGAAUAAAUAUGUCUGCUUUCCUUUGUUCAUUGUACCCUCAUGGCUAGAUUGCUAAUGAGGGUAUCCUUUCUGCAGGAAGUAAGAGAAAUUGCUUUGCUAAGAAACCCUUUGUCCCCGUGCUAAUUUUUCUUUGCAGCACCAAAAAUUUACAUAUAACAUUGACUCAUUAUCUAUUUUUCUGAAAAGAAAACAGAGUCUCAUAGAGGUUAAGUGACUUGCCCAAGUUCACACUGCUAACCUACGGCAGGGCCAGGACUCAACUCAAUCUGUGAGACCCGGCCGGGGUUCAGAACAAAAGCAUGUCUCAGUGUGUCAUCUCCUUCAGCACCAAGAAGAAAGGAGAGAAACUUGGGUACCAUCAGACCAGCCACGCCAGAGCUCACAGCAGUCUUACUCAGUCCCACAAGCCCACAGGAUGUCAGCACUCAGACUUCGGGAACCAUCCAGUCUCACCUCUCAGUGAACAGAUGUGGAGACUCAGGAGCAGAGAGGAAAAAUGGCUUGUUCAAGGUCAUACAGGAUUUCAACUCAGUCUACCUCCAGCAGAUCAGAUUUCCUAGAAAUAACUGUUCCUCCUUGUAAACUCCACGAAAAACAAGUUUUCUGGAAAGGAAUUUGGAGGAAAGAGACUUUAUUCCAGUGGACAGUUUGCAAAUGUGAGUGUUCGGUUUUGAAGGGAAGGCGAGGUUUAAAGAAAGACAUAAACACACAAGGGAGUGGCUUAACAGCAAAUGCAGGCUUUAUGUCCAGCAUAAAACCUACGGAAGUGGGGGACCAGCCUAAUGCCAGAGCCCACUGCUGCUUACAGGCUGGGGCAAUGUAUAGGCAUGGGCCGAAGGGGUCUGGGCAGUAUGGCUUGCUGCCUGGCAGGAUAUGGAUCAGCUGUUCCCAUGGAGAGAUGGCUCUGGCCCUUGCUCCAGUGGGAUGUCAUCAUGGCGUUCUGGGUGUUCCUCGGACCUUUGUCCAGCAAGGUAUGAUAGAUGUUCCUUUCGUUGGGCCUUUGCCUUGUGGUCAUGUGGUUAGGCAGGACGUUUCUCACGGCCUGUUUCACUUUGACCAAGGUCUGCUAAACAGCAGGCAGCUUACAACAUGGUGCAGUUGGGACUAACACUAAGAGACCCAGACUUCAGGUAAAAUGGGGGUGUGAUCUGAGAACAAGGAGAGGAGUUGGGUUUUAUAGCCAAAUUCUCUGCCCAGGUUCCCGAUCAGGUUUGUUUGCAUAGGAAGGACUGAAACUUGCUUUCUUCUGACGCAGCUGAGCCCUGAUUAACCAGAGCAGACGAGCUCUGACAGAUCGGUUUCCAAGCCCCAAACUGGGAGUCUAUAUCAGACUGUCGCUGGCUGGGGGUGGGAGGUGCCCAGCAGGAAUUUGUCCUGGGACCAACAGCAGGUGCUGGUUUGGCUUGAUUGUGAAAAGGGGGUCCUGUGAUGCUCUUACAUCUUUCUGAGAACACAGAGUACGUGACCACUCCCACACCUAGCUGUGGCCACUGGGUUUCUGUUUUAAAUGUGGGUACCUCAGUGAGUCACAGGGAGCCCAUUUGAUCUAUACGCUGUGGACAUACUUUAACAAUCCCAAUCCUGUUCUCUCUUGACAAAUCACUUUCUCUACCCAAAUACUGAUACUAGAGUAUGUGUCUUUCCUCCCCUUAAGGGCAGGACCUCUUGGGCUUACUUUUGUUGGCCCCAUCCAGGAGAGAGCCCGGCACAUGUUAGGUCUUAAUAAACACUGAGCGAAUGAAUGACCACAUUCUACUAGACAUUUCAUUUACCCUCCCUGACUCCAUGCCUGGGUAGAACGAACUACAUCUGAAGAUGGGUAAUGUCUUGAGAUUUUCACGACAGACAUAAAGCUAGCAAGUCAAAGAAAGUGUGACACUGCUUUAUUUUUAGGGUUUGUCCUUGACACAGCACAUUACGAGUUGAGGUGAUGGUACUGACUGUCCUUGGGGUUUGUGUGCAAUUUUUAACCAGGAUUCAUGGCUGGGGAAACAAAAGCACUUUUUUGCCUGUAUAACUUUGUUCCCUCCCUUCCUUUAUUGCUUUAAAUAGGCAAGAUGUGGUUUGCAUUCCUUUCACGGCUAAUGUUGUCCCAAUUUUGCACUCAACAGUCACUAAAGAUCUCCUCCCCCCUUACACAUUCCACUCAUUUGUAACCAAGAUCCUCAGUGCUGCUAAAGGAGGGUCCCUCAGCCCCGUAUCUUGUGUGCAUAAAGUAGUAGGUAGCGGGCCCAGUUAUGUUAAACAUUAGGUAAUAUUGGUAUCUCUUAACCUCUCUAUGAUAAUCUUAAAGGCGGAAGCAUCAUCCUCUGCUUAUGAUUGCUGUAGGCAAGAAUGUGCACCAGCCCUCCCAGGAGAAUGAAGAUCAUCACCAUCUCCAUUGUAAGCCAAGAAACACCUUUGGACGACUGUUCUGUGGCUCAUUAAAGUUUUUUGGAAUCCUGUAUGUUGGCUUAUACUGAAAAACAGAUGAAGAGGACCUCAACCCAGAAAACAAAAGGGGAGUGUGCUAGAUUGGAAAGCACCAUCCACCCAUCCAAGGAUAAGAACCAAGGUUACUUUAUCCAAUGGGAAAGAGAAUUCCGGAGCUCAGGGUCCACAGUGGCAAGGAAGGGUGCAUGGAAAAUAAAGAACUAUGUAAGAAUAAGGAGGGAUGGGUAUAAACAAGAGGGACCUGAAUAAUUAGGGUCCAAUUAAUAUUGGCCAUGUAAGGAGAAUGAAGUUUCUGUCCCCCAAUGAAAAUUGAAAUGUGGAGCUAGAUUUUAAAUCAGCUCCACAUUUCAAUUUUGUAACUUACUCCUCAUCCACGUCUGUAUAGCUUUCUAAAGCUGAAUGCCACCAGGCACAUUAGAAAGAUGUACUUGUUUUCUGCUGGACUCAUUGGGUAAAUAUUGUUUUCUAGCCAUGGUGCUUUUUACAUAUAGGGGUGAUAUGUUCGGCUUUCAAUUUAAAGAAAGACCACCCUGACAGCCCCAAGGAAGACAGAAAUGUAGGUGGAGGGCAAAGGGGAAGGAAGAGUUACAGUCUGGAGACAACACAAUUGUGUAUGUCUAGACUAAGAUCCCCACAGUGAGAAUGGACAGGAUUCAGUAGGGAAGAAGAAAUGGAAAGAAAUAGAGUGGAAAUAGAUUGAUGGGACCCGUUCCAGGAGAAAGGAAUUAUUCAAAGUGGAGCAGUCUUCAAUAGAAAAUAACAACAGCAACAAGUUUUCUGGCCCAGAGGAGAAAAUGAGAAAAAAAAAGAGAUGCCAAGGCAGAUCUAGCUCUAGGUGAGGGCUAGGCUUACGGGAGUUUUUAUCUCACACUAGGAUUUCUCAGUGCACAGUCAUUGCUGAGAGAACGAUCGAAGAAACAUUACCAGGAGUCGAGAAAGGAGUCAACGUUUAGAUUAACUAUUGAGAGGAGUGGAAGAGGAGGCUGAUUAUGAAUUUGUGAAGAAAUACUAGACCAUAUAGUGAAAGAACAAAUAUUGGAAAUCCCAAUGACAUUGAGUAGCAGAUGUACUCUGAGUUAAGGGAGUGAGAGGGAAGCUCCGUUAGAGAUUUACCAAAGUCCUUGACAUUUUAACCCAGCUGUCAACUUCAGACCAGAGAAAAUCUUCCAAAAGAAGAUUCCAAAAGUAUAUUCAUCCAUCAACCAUAACCUUAUAUCUGAAGCCAGGACUAAACAGACAUUCUCAGUGAAAUUGUCAUGAAAUCGCUCUUCCAAGAUCAGUUGUAAUCUGGGAUUUUGUCUUCAUACUCCCAGAUGUCUCUGAUCCCACUGUAACCAAACCCCAAAUCCUAGGACCUUUCUUCUGCUUACUUCACUCUUCCUGUACACAUUUUCCAGGCACUUCCACCACUCACCACCCUCCAAAAGGAACUGAUCCCUAAGCUCGUGCUGUGAUUAAGGAUUAAUGAUUUUCCAUUUGCCUUCAGUGAUGCUACAAGAUCUCUAGGCAAAGGACU